AGACCUUCGGGUCUAGUGGCGCACGGGUGCGUAACGCGUGGGAAUCUGCCCUUAGGUACGGAAUAACUCAGAGAAAUUUAUGCUAAUACCGUAUGAUGUCGAAAGACCAAAGAUUUAUCGCCUAAGGAUGAGCCCGCGUAAGAUUAGCUAGUUGGUAAGGUAAAAGCUUACCAAGGCGACGAUCUUUAGCUGGUCUGAGAGGAUGAUCAGCCACACUGGGACUGAGACACGGCCCAGACUCCUACGGGAGGCAGCAGUGGGGAAUAUUGGACAAUGGGCGAAAGCCUGAUCCAGCAAUGCCGCGUGAGUGAUGAAGGCCUUAGGGUUGUAAAGCUCUUUUACCAGGGAUGAUAAUGACAGUACCUGGAGAAUAAGCUCCGGCUAACUCCGUGCCAGCAGCCGCGGUAAUACGGAGGGAGCUAGCGUUGUUCGGAAUUACUGGGCGUAAAGCGUACGUAGGCGGUUAUUCAAGUCAGAGGUGAAAGCCUGGAGCUCAACUCCAGAACUGCCUUUGAAACUAGAUAGCUAGAAUCACGGAGAGGUUAGUGGAAUUCCGAGUGUAGAGGUGAAAUUCGUAGAUAUUCGGAAGAACACCAGUGGCGAAGGCGACUAACUGGACGUGUAUUGACGCUGAGGUACGAAAGCGUGGGGUGCAAACAGGAUUAGAUACCCUGGUAGUCCACGCCGUAAACGAUGAUAACUAGCUGUUCGGUCUCUACGAGACUGAGUGGCGCAGCUAACGCAUUAAGUUAUCCGCCUGGGGAGUACGGUCGCAAGAUUAAAACUCAAAGGAAUUGACGGGGGCCUGCACAUCGGUGGAGCAUGUGGUUUAAUUCGAAGCAACGCGCAGAACCUUACCAGCGUUUGACAUCCUAAUCGCGGUUUUCAGAGAUGAUUACCUUCAGUUCGGCUGGAUUAGUGACAGGUGCUGCAUGGCUGUCGUCAGCUCGUGUCGUGAGAUGUUGGGUUAAGUCCCGCAACGAGCGCAACCCUCGUCUUUAGUUGCCAUCAUUCAGUUGGGCACUCUAAAGAAACUGCCGGUGAUAAGCCGGAGGAAGGUGGGGAUGACGUCAAGUCCUCAUGGCCCUUACACGCUGGGCUACACUCGUGCUACAAUGGCGGUGACAGUGGGCAGCAACCGGGCGACCGGUAGCUAAUCUCCAAAAACCGUCUCAGUUCGGAUUGUUCUCUGCAACUCGAGAGCAUGAAGGUGGAAUCGCUAGUAAUCGCGGAUCAGCAUGCCGCGGUGAAUACGUUCCCAGGCCUUGUACACACCGCCCGUCACACCAUGGGAUUUGGAUUCACCCGAAGGCAGUGCGCUAACUCGCAAGAGAGGCAGCUGACCACGGUGGGUUUAGAGACUGGGGUGAAGUCGGAACAAGGUA
rnacentral:rRNA from 1 species